rnacentral:rRNA from 1 species
AUUGAACGCUGGCGGCAGGCCUAACACAUGCCAGUCGAGCGGAUGAAGGGAGCUUGCUCCUGGAUUCAGCGGCGGACGGGUGAGUAAUGCCUAGGAAUCUGCCUGGUAGUGGGGGAUAACGUCCGGAAACGGGCGCUAAUACCGCAUACGUCCUGAGGGAGAAAGUGGGGGAUCUUCGGACCUCACGCUAUCAGAUGAGCCUAGGUCGGAUUAGCUAGUUGGUGGGGUAAAGGCCUACCAAGGCGACGAUCCGUAACUGGUCUGAGAGGAUGAUCAGUCACACUGGAACUGAGACACGGUCCAGACUCCUACGGGAGGCAGCAGUGGGGAAUAUUGGACAAUGGGCGAAAGCCUGAUCCAGCCAUGCCGCGUGUGUGAAGAAGGUCUUCGGAUUGUAAAGCACUUUAAGUUGUGAGGAAGGGCAGUAAGUUAAUACCUUGCUGUUUUGACGUUACCGACAGAAUAAGCACCGGCUAACUUCGUG